CAUAUGAAUGUUUGGAUUGUGAAAGGAAGUUAGUCCUACCCAUUGCAUUCGGGUGUAAAAAUUUGACAGAAUCAAAAUAUGCUGUUGUUCUUGACAGUAGCAGGUUUAAUUAUGCACUUGAAGUGUUCGAUAAAAUGCCUAGAAGAUGCAAGAUCUAUCAUCUCUGCUCUGGCUUAUAAGACAGUUGGUAGGUAUUCAAGAAGAGCUACUUGAUUAAAUAUAAAGAAAUAUCUUCUAAGAGUGGGCCACAACUUUACUUGCAAUGUUAAGGCUGAUUAGUGUCUGAGUGUCUUAGCUAUGUCCGAGUCGAUUGAGAUGGCUCUAUUAGAAUCAUACACUAGCAUAAGUGGUUUACUAGAUCUGUUUUUGUUGUUUGAU